rnacentral:rRNA from 1 species
AACGAACGCUGGCGGCAUGCCUAACACAUGCAAGUCGAACGAAGCCUUCGGGCUUAGUGGCACACGGGUGCGUAACGCGUGGGAAUCUGCCCUUUGGUUCGGAAUAACAGUUGGAAACGACUGCUAAUACCGGAUGAUGACGAAAGUCCAAAGAUUUAUCGCCAGAGGAUGAGCCCGCGUAGGAUAGCUAGUUGGUGUGGUAAAGGCGCACCAAGGCGACGAUCCUUAGCUGGUCUGAGAGGAUGAUCAGCCACACUGGGACUGAGACACGGCCCAGACUCCUACGGGAGGCAGCAGUGGGGAAUAUUGGACAAUGGGCGAAAGCCUGAUCCAGCAAUGCCGCGAGUGAUGAAGGCCCUAGGGUUGUAAAGCUCUUUUACCCGGGAUGAUAAUGACAGUACCGGGAGAAUAAGCCCCGGCUAACUCCGUGCCAGCAGCCGCAGUAA